rnacentral:rRNA from 1 species
UUGGGUUUAAGGGUCCGUAGGCGGGAUAGUAAGUCAGUGGUGAAAGUCUGCAGCUCAACUGUAGAACUGCCAUUGAAACUGUUGUCCUUGAGUAAUUAUGAAGUGGUUGGAAUAUGUAGUGUAGCGGUGAAAUGCAUAGAUAUUACAUAGAACACCGAUUGCGAAGGCAGAUCACUAAUAAUUCACUGACGCUGAUGGACGAAAGCGUAGGUAGCGAACAGGAUUAGAUACCCUGGUAGUCUACGCCGUAAACGAUGGCUACUAGCUGUUCGGACCAAUUGAGGUCUGAGUGGCCAAGCGAAAGUGAUAAGUAACCCACCUGGGGAGUACGUUCGCAAGAAUGAAACUCAAAGGAAUUGACGGGGGCCCGCACAAGCGGUGGAGCAUGUGGUUUAAUUCGAUGAUACGCGAGGAACCUUACCAGGGCUUAAAUGCAGCUUGACCGAUUUGGAAACAGAUCUUUCGCAAGACAAGUUGCAAGGUGCUGCAUGGUUGUCGUCAGCUCGUGCCGUGAGGUGUCAGGUUAAGUCCUAUAACGAGCGCAACCCCUGUUGUUAGUUGCCAGCACAUCAUGGUGGGAACUCUAACAAGACUGCCGGUGCAAACCGUGAGGAAGGUGGGGAUGACGUCA